GACGAGCCACACGAACGUUAUUCGGAAUUACUGGGCUUAAAGGGUGCGUAGGCGGUGCGGCAAGUUGGGUGUGAAAUCCCUCGGCUCAACCGAGGAACUGCGCCCAAAACUACCGUACUUGAGGAAGAUAGAGGUGAGCGGAACUUACAGUGGAGCGGUGAAAUGCGUUGAUAUUGUAAGGAACACCCGUGGCGAAAGCGGCUCACUGGGUCUUUUCUGACGCUGAUGCACGAAAGCUAGGGGAGCAAACGGG
rnacentral:rRNA from 1 species